GACGAACGCUGGCGGCGUGCUUAACACAUGCAAGUCGAACGAAGUGGUGAACGGGUGAGUAACGCGUAAUCCACCUGCCCUUCAGAGGGGGACAACAGCAGGAAACGACUGCUAAUACCGCAUACUGAAGGCGGGGGUUGCGUCGGAUUGACUAGUUGGAGGGGUAACGGCCCACCAAGGCGAUGAUCAGUAGCCGGUCUGAGAGGAUGAACGGCCAAAUUGGGACUGGGACACGGCCCAGACUCCUACGGGAGGCAGCAGUGGGGAAUCUUCCGCAAUGGACGAAAGUCUGACGGAGCAACGCCGCGUGAGUGAUGACGGCCUUCGGGUUGUAAAGCUCUGUUAAUCGGGACGCGGUACCGGAAUAGAAAGCCACGGCUAACUACGUGCCAGCCGCCGCGGUAAUUC
rnacentral:rRNA from 1 species